AGAAUGGCUGAGUUAUAAGCAUUAGAUUUUUAAUUUAAUUACGAUUUUUGAUCUUUUA
rnacentral:tRNA from 1 species